rnacentral:rRNA from 1 species
GAUGAACGCUAGCGGCAGGCUUAUCACAUGCAAGUCGAGGGGUAUAGGUUUUCGGACCUAGAGACCGGCGCACGGGUGCGUAACGCGUAUGCAAUCUACCUUUCACAGAGGGAUAGCCCAGAGAAAUUUGGAUUAAUACCUCAUAGCAUUAUGAAAUGGCAUCAUUUUAUAAUUAAAGUCACAACGGUGAAAGAUGAGCAUGCGUCCCAUUAGCUAGUUGGUAUGGUAACGGCAUACCAAGGCUACGAUGGGUAGGGGUCCUGAGGGGGAGAUCCCCCACACUGGUACUGAGACACGGACCAGACUCCUACGGGAGGCAGCAGUGAGGAAUAUUGGUCAAUGGGCGCAAGCCUGAACCAGCCAUGCUGCGUGCAAGAUGACGGUCCUAUGGAUUGUAAACUGCUUUUGUACGGGAAGAAACACUCCUACGUGUAGGAACUUGACGGUACCGUAAGAAUAAGGAUCGGCUAACUCCGUGCCAGCCGCCGCUGUAAAAC